rnacentral:tRNA from 1 species
GCCCGAGUGGUGAAAUUGGUAUACACGUAUCCUUGAGGUGGAUAUGCCGUAAGGUGUGGAGGUUCGAGUCCUCUCUCGGGCACAA